rnacentral:rRNA from 1 species
UGGGGAAUCUUAGGCAAUGGGGGAAACCCUGACCUAGCCAUGCCGCGUGGAGGAAGACACCCCUACGGGGCGUAAACUCCUUUUCUGCCGGAAGAAAACCUUGUUUUGCAGGGCGUGACGGUACGGCAGGAAUAAGCACCGGCUAACUCCGUGCCAGCAGCCGCGGUAAUACGGAGGGUGCAAGCGUUGUCCGGAAUCACUGGGCGUAAAGGGUGUGUAGGUGGGACAGCAAGUCAGGGGUGAAAGCCCGCGGCUCAACCGCGGAAGUGCCCUUGAAACUGCUGUUCUUGAGUCCUGGAGAGGUUGCUGGAAUUCGUGGUGUAGCGGUGAAAUGCGUAGAUAUCACGAGGAACACCAGAGGCGUAAGCGAGCAACUGGACAGGUACUGACACUGAGGCACGAGAGCGUGGGGAGCAAACA